AGUGAACGCUGGCGGUAGGCCUAACACAUGCAAGUCGAACGGCAGCACAGUAAGAGCUUGCUCUUACGGGUGGCGAGUGGCGGACGGGUGAGGAAUACAUCGGAAUCUACUUUUUCGUGGGGGAUAACGUAGGGAAACUUACGCUAAUACCGCAUACGACCUACGGGUUAAAGCAGGGGAUCUUCGGACCUUGCGCGAUUGAAUGAGCCGAUGUCGGAUUAGCUAGUUGGCGGGGUAAAGGCCCACCAAGGCGACGAUCCGUAGCUGGUCUGAGAGGAUGAUCAGACAAAAUGGAACGGAGACACGGUCAAGAAGACUACGGGAGGAAGCAGUGGGGAAUAUUGGACAAUGGGCGCAAGCAUGAUACAGCCAUACCGCGUGGGUGAAGAAGGCCUUCGGGUUGUAAAGCCCUUUUGUUGGGAAAGAAAAGCAGCAGGUUAAUACCCCGCUGUUCUGACGGUACCAAAAGAAUAAGCACCGGCUAACUUCGUG
rnacentral:rRNA from 1 species